ACUGCAAAGUUAUAGUGCAGUAAAUAAUUUUAAUUAAAUUUGGUGUCAAAACAAGUUUGCUGUAAUCGCAUAUUUCUGCCUGUUUCUUGCCCCCUCCCCCUCCAAAGAGUUUAUCUCUGUACAAAGGGAAAAAAUAAAACAGGUGUUAGAACUGCCUUGUGAAUCUAUAAUUCUUAUAAAAGCUUGUGAAGGUCAGCCUCUCAAAAAAGUAGAAAAAACCCAGAAAAAUAUGAAUAAAUAGGCUAUACAUUUAUGAAAUACAAAUAAAAUGGAAUAAUACUUGUUGGUGUAGAUUUCAUGAGAAUUCAUUAAUUAUAGUACAUAACAUGCAGUACAUUUCAUCAUUUGGUUAUAUUAUUUUUACGCGCAGUGAUUUCGCGCUGGCUGUGGCGCUGUUACGUCGCACCGUGCACCAACUCUCGCGCAAGUUCAUAGUGCGUAGGAAUACAAGGUAUACUGAUAUUUGAGAGCAUGUUGGUUUUAAGUGUUGUUGUGUUCUAUAUAGUUGAAUAAACUUACAGUUAAUGUACUUCAGUCGUUGGAU
rnacentral:sRNA from 1 species